UAUCAUGCUCUCACAUAUACACACCUGCAAGCUAGAAUCACUCUGAUGUUCCCUUUGUGGCACUACACCCUGAGGAAGGCUCAAGCCGACACACAUUGGCACAGCUACUAAAUGGAUUUUGAGAUAUUACCACAUCACCCUGCCUUUUGACACCCCCCUACGGAAAACAUGCAUAGUCGGCAGCUGUCAAACCCAAAGACAAGAAACAGAAUAGACAAUAGGAAGGUCUAGUGGAGAGAAACCCUGUGUAUUGGCGUUCUGCAGGCUGCAGGACUCUGGCUGUGUGGAAUUGAGCAACAUGAAGGUCUUACCAGAGGAAGUGGCGAAGUAAAGACUCCAGGCAGUGCUGAGGAGCUGCUGAGCUCCCCGGGAGA